rnacentral:rRNA from 1 species
CCUACGGGUGGCUGCAGUGGGGGAUAUUGCACAAUGGGGGAAACCCUGAUGCAGCGACGCCGCGUGGGUGAAGAAGGGCCUCGGCGCGUAAAGCCCUGUCAGCAGGGGAGAAAAUGAAGGUACCUGAGGCAGAAGCCCCGGCUAACUACGUGCCAGCAGCCGCGGUAAUACGUCGGGGGCCAGCGUUAUCCGGAUUUACUGGGUGUAAAGGGGGCGCAGACGGGGUUGCAAGCCAGUAGUGAAAGCCCGGGGCCCAACCCCGGGACUGGACUUGGAACUGCGUGGCUAGAGUGCAGGAGGGGCAGGCGGAAUUCCUGGUGUAGCGGUGAAAUGCGUAGAUAUCAGGAGGAACACCGGUGGCGAAGGCGGCCUGCUGGACUGCAACUGACGUUGAGGCCCGAAAGCGUGGGGAGCAAACAGGAUUAGAUACCCGAGUAGUC